AAUUCCUUAUUUUAUUCAUUCCCAAAUAUCUUUUGCAAUCCCACAAUUAUAGCGGUAGAUCUUCCUUUAAUCUUUCAUUCUUCGCGUCAAAAUACUUCCGCUCUCAAGACACCCCCGAAAAUCAUGGCACCAGAGUAAAUUAACAUGAAAAUCCAGUCUUUGAAGGUAAUCAACAGAAAAAAAUGCAGCAAAAAAAAUGCAACAAGUGAAAACAUUGAGAACAAUACAGCAAGUCGUGGAACUUCAUUCUGAACAAUUCUCGCCAGGCUAAAAUAUUUUGGUACGACCCACUGUCAUGUUCCCUGUUGCUGACCAAGGCAAUUAUUAUAAGUACUAUAUGUAAUUCUUAAUGUAAGCUAAAAUCUUGUAGCGAUUCAACAUCAAUUGCGAUAAACAAAUAAAAAUACAAUUAGCACGUUA